GAUGAACGCUGGCGGCGUGCUUAACACAUGCAAGUCGAACGGUGAAGGCGGAGCUUGCUCUGCUGGAUCAGUGGCGAACGGGUGAGUAACACGUGAGCAAUCUGCCCCUGACUCUGGGAUAAGCGCUGGAAACGGCGUCUAAUACUGGAUACGAGCUGCGAAGGCAUCUUCAGCAGCUGGAAAGAACUUCGGUCAGGGAUGAGCUCGCGGCCUAUCAGCUUGUUGGUGAGGUAACGGCUCACCAAGGCGUCGACGGGUAGCCGGCCUGAGAGGGUGACCGGCCACACUGGGACUGAGACACGGCCCAGACUCCUACGGGAGGCAGCAGUGGGGAAUAUUGCACAAUGGGCGAAAGCCUGAUGCAGCAACGCCGCGUGAGGGACGACGGCCUUCGGGUUGUAAACCUCUUUUAGCAGGGAAAAAGCGAAAGUGACGGUACCUGCAGAAAAAGCGCCGGCUAACUACGUG
rnacentral:rRNA from 1 species